rnacentral:rRNA from 1 species
UUGCAUCGGCUGCUCGAGGCGGCCACUAGAGACGGCAUCCUACAACCCAUCCCCGGGAGGGCCGCUCGCAUGCGCACCAGCUUGUACGCGGACGAUGCAGUAAUCUUCGUCAACCCAGUGCGACAAGAAAUAGACGAUCUCUUCCACAUCCUGCACUGCUUCGGCGAGGCCACUGACCUAAAGGUGAACCAAGCAAAAUCCUCGGUCGUCCCGAUCGCCUGCGACGGAAUCGACCUCGUUGACGUGCUACAAAGUUUCGGUGGAACCAUGGCGGCGCUGCCCAUCACAUACUUAGGCAUCCCGAUCACCACCGGCAAGCUUAGACUAGUGCACCUGCAGUUGAUCUUAGAUAGGAUUCGAGCACGGUUAGCGGGCUGGAAGGGCAGGCUGCUACCAAUCACGGGCCGGCGCGUGCUGGUAAGGUGUGUGCUCGCCAUGCCCACCUUCGCCCUCACCGUCCUUUGGGCUCCGAAGAAGUUCUUCAAAGACAUCGACAAGGCCAGGAGGCGCUUCCUUUGGGCGCACGACGGCGAGAUCUCUGGCGGAAAAUGCAAGGUAGGCUGGAAGAUGGUCACUAGACUAGAGCGCACUGGUGGCCUGGGCAUACAUGACCUAUCUGCGUUCGCCCAUGCACUGCGGCUGCGUUGGCUGUGGCUCGCCUGGACGCAGCCAAACCGGCCCUGGGUCGGCUCGGGCGUUCCCUCCAACGACGACGAUGAAGCUUUGUUUGUGGCCUGCACGGUGGUCACCAUCAACGACGGAGCCACGACAUCGUUCUGGUCGUCCAACUGGCACGACGGCAGGCCCCUGCGCGCAGCUUACCCGGAGGUCUUCGCUCAAUCCAUCCAGAAAUGCAGGACCGUGCGGGACGCUCUGCACCAGGACCGUUGGGUUCUCGACCUUCGCCACGGCAACUUCUCCAGCAUCAUCCACCAGGUGCUUCAACUGGCCAGGCAGCUGCGAGACGCCGCAAUCACCCUGGUUGAGGGCACGGCGGACACGAUCAGAUGGACAGCAUGCAGCUCUGGCUUGUACUCUGCGCGAUCAGCAUACGAUGUGCAAUUCGAAGACACUCCCCUGCUCAACUUCAAGAACUCGAUCUGGAAAGCAUGGGGGCCGGGCAAAAUGAAAAUGCUCCUCUGGCUGCUGCAAUUGGACCGGCUCUGGUGCUGCGACAGACUCCAGCAGCGUGGCUGGGAAAACAACUACUUCUGUCAGCUCUGCGUGCGACAGCUUGAGACAUCCUCCCACAUCUUCUGGGAAUGUCCGAUCUCCAUUCAUGUAUGGAACAAGGUUGCAACAUGGGCAGGCUGCAGGACAAAAUAA